rnacentral:lncRNA from 10 species
AUAUGGUGAGAAGGAAACCAAAGAGAAUAUACUGACACCAAUUAGAAUAAGCGAAAGGACAGGGCAGAGUUGCCCAAACUGAGCCUGACGAAGAUGAAGGGAAAUGACAGAGUAGCUAUGCACCAUACUACAUACAGUUAUAAGGAAGAAAGAAAAUAAAGCAGGGAGGGAGGGAAGAAAGGAAAAAAAGAAGAAAAUUAAAAAGGAAAGGACGCUGGAGAAAAGAAACAGACACAGAUAACUGAAUUCAGCAGAAAAUCUGAUAAAAGGAAAAAUUUAUAGGAGGGCUUUCAGCUUAAAAAACAAAAACUUUAAUAAAAUAAGACAUUAGGCUGGGUUCAGUGGUUCAGUGUUCACACCUGUAAUCCCAGUGCUUUGGGAGGCCAAGGUGGGAGGAUUGCUUGAGGCUAGGUGUUGAAGACCACCCUGGACAACAUAACAAGAUUUCAUUUCUAAAAAUAAAUAAAUAAAUAAAUAAAUAUUUUAAAAUAAAUAAAAAUUUAAAAGACCCUUAAAAAUGAGUGUUAAAGAAAUAAAUUGAAGAUCUAGGUAACACCACUAAAAAAACUGCAAAUAAAUUGAAAAUCUCAAGGAAGAAACAAGUCAGAGCUACAAAUCAAAUUACUAGCAUAGAAUAAAAGUUGGGGAUAGUAAGUACCAAUAGCCUGGGCCAGGUGCGGUGGCUCACACCUAUAAUGUCAGCACUUUGGUUGGCUGAGGUGGGUAAAUCACUUGAGGUCAGGAGUUUGAGACCAGCCUGGUUAACGUGGUGAAACCCCGCCUCUACUAAAAAUACAAAAAUUAGCCAGGCAUGGUGGUGCGUGCCUGUCAUCCCAGCUACUCGGGAGGCUGAGGUGAGAGAAUCACUUGAACCCAGGAGGCAGAGGUUGCAGUGAGCCAAGAUUGCACCACUGCACUCCAGCCUGGGCGACAGAGACUCCAUCUUAAAUAAAUAAAUAAAUAAAUAAAUCUCAAUAGCCUAGAAAGAGGAAAAAAAAAGUCAAAUUAUUUUUUAAAAUAUUACCCCAUAAAAUUGUCCUUCAGGUAUUAAGAAAAUAUGCAAAAAUUCAGGGAAAACAAUAUCCAUAAACUCUUCAUUUUUGUAGAAUUAUUUUUGUUAAUCAAUCUAACAAAAUGUUGAUGAGGUUAUCCUGAAGUUACUGAUAGUUGCUUUAUAUGGUAGAGCAUCAAUGUCCAAUAUGGUAGCCACUGACCACAUGCAACUAUUGAGCACAUGAGUUAUGGCUAAUAUUAGUUGUUAUAUGCUAUAAAUGUUUAAAGUACACAUCAGAUUUCAAAGACUUAAUAUAAAGAAAAGUAAAAUAUUGCAUUAGUUUUUAUUUCAUAUUAAUUAUAUAUUGAAAUGAUAUAUAUACUGUACUCAAAUAAACUAUCAUCAAAUUAAUUUUACCUGUUUUUCCUUUCUUUUUUUUUUUUUUUUGAGACAGGGUCUCCUUCCCUGUCACCCAGGCUGGAGUGCAGUGGCACAAUCUCAGCCCACUAUUAGCCUCAACUUCCCGAGCUCAGGUGAUCCUGCCCACCUCAGCCUCCCAAAGUGCUGGGAUUACAGGCUGAGCCACUGUGCCUGGCCCCUCUUUUUACUUUUUAAAAAAGCUACUAGGAAAUUGAAAAUUCGAUUUGUGGCUUGUAUUAUAUUUCUGUUGCACAGCACCAUAGUAGACUUUGGGGAGAGAUUUCGCUUGUUUGUACUAUUUAGUUUAGUUUGAUCUUUUAAAUAAGUAUGGUUAUUCAUAUAAAACAAUACACUCAUUAUUCCUAAAUUGAAUAAAUAAACCAAUGGACAAAGAGCUAUGCUUUCUCCCCUGGGAUGUUGAGACAACUAGCUGGGAGUCCAAGGCCCAGAUAUUGAAAGGGCUCACCUGUGGUCACCCUUCAGUCUGGGGGAAGACCUGGGGCCAGACCUCCCAGAUGCCUAUUUGAUUUAAUUAAGUCUUCAUCAAAUUAUUAUUUUAUUAUUAUUAUUAUUCAAGAUGGAGUCUCACUCUGUCGCCCAGGCUGGAGUGCAGUGGCCUGAUCUCGGCUCACUGCAACCUCCACUUCCUGGGUUCAAGUGAUUCUCCUGCCUCAGCCUCCCGAGUAGCUGGGACUAUAGGCACCCGCCACCACGCCUGGCUAAUUUUUGUAUUUUUAGUAGAAGCGGGGUUUCACCAUGUUGGCUAGGCUGGUCUCGAACUCCUGACCUCAAAUGAUCCACCCACCUCGGCUUCCCAAAGUGCUGGGAGUGGUGUGAGCCACGACGCCCGGCCCAAAUUUUUACUUUUAUUAUAAACUCAACAUAUACUUUUGUUUUAAAAAGACAAACAAUACAUAAAUUGUUAUAAAGUUAAAAGUGAGUUCUCUGUUUUACACAAUCUUAUUCUGAAAAGUAUCCAUUGUUAGAAUGCUUAGGAGAGACAGUAAGUUUUCAUACUACUUUAAAAAUAAGACCAAGUUCUUAAGCUUGGCUACACAUUGGUGUCACUUGGAGACUCUGUGAGUCCCACAUUAAAUUCUGAUUUAACUGGUUUGGGUAAAGCCUGGGCAUCAGGAUUUUUUCAGUUCCCCAGGUGAAUGUAGCGUGCUAGGAUAGCAAUUUGAAAUAGGGUAUGGCCAGGGAAAACCUCACUGAUAAUAGUGGAGGUGGUGAAAAGGGGUGGGAUUCUGGAUUU